AUCCUUGGCAGGCCCACCAUGAAAAAGUAGUAGAAAAUUACGAGACCAAAAUUUCGGUUCGUUUUGUUUCCUGGUCGCGUCGGCGUCAUUCUCUGCAGGGUUCAGCCCGGUGGCGCGCAUGCCGUGGCGGCGUCGCAUCUCGUCCUCUCCACUGGCAUAUGAAGUCGAGUCUCGGCCGCCGCAGGCAUAUGGAGGGAGCUCCGGCGUCGUCCACCACGUGUUCGACGGAAUGCCCACACAGAUUUCUGAGGAUCUGUAGAUUCUUGAAAGGUGCCGCUGCGAGUUUGGAGGUACUUUUCUCAAGGAUCAUGGCCUCCUAAUUAAGAGAAAAGUUCAGCAGUGGAAAAGAGAAGGAUACUCUGGAGCUACCUUUCUAAGGAAGUAGAUUAACUGAUUCAUGCCGUGGAAUCGUGGAUAGACCAUGGAGGACUCUGGAUCCCAUGUCCCAAAGACAAUCUCUGCAUCCUGGCUGAAGUUUUGACAAUUCACUGCUGAACCAUGCCUGACAGUGCGCAAACCAAGGCAAAAAAGGUCAGUGGGUGUCUGGAUGAGAUCUGCUCACUCACCAAGUUAAACCAUAGCUGCUUCUCCAAAAUAUGAACAACCAACCAAGAAGUAAAAAAAAACCCCGCAGUUCCAUCUCAAAUUUGGCGCCCAGUAGUUUCUUCCAUGGCACAGAGGUACGUCUCGGAUCUCGAUGCCGAUGCGCCCUCGGGGGGAAAUGCCUACCCAUUUCUAGCUAGCUUGAAGAUCUCUGCGUUGCAUCUUGCAAGCUGAUGGGAUCAACGAUCUGGCCAGACGGGCUUUUCUCUCCCUUGUCCACAUCCGCCUCCUUUUGUAGGCAUACCAUGUAUCGCUCGCCGUGAUGCAUACUGCAAUUCAUCUGACCGCGAAGGGAUGCAUGGUGGCGAGCUACACGUACAGAGGCACAGCGCACGCAGCUAAGCAAGCAGUGGGCGCGGCCUGUCCUGCUGCCCCCCCCUCUCCUCGUUCGCGCCAUUAGUCGCUUGUCCGGGAGCGCUCUCCGCUGCGAUUUGUCCCCAACGGGGAUCACGAGAGCGGGGAGGAACAAGUUGCCCAGAUUUUGGACGCGCGCCCGUGGAAGGGCGUGGGCUUGUCAUAUUGGAAGAGGGGUCGCUUUCGGGUUUUAAGCUGCUUCUGCUUCUCUCUCUUACUCAUGGCAGUGAGUGAGAGAGAGAGGCCGGCUGGUCGAUCGUGUACGUGUGUCUUGACUGUGUGGGAGGUUAACAGGAGGAACUAGCUUAGCUAGUGUUAGUGUUAGUGUUAGAGCCUAGUAUUAGGCUAUCAGCUAUGCAUGUGUCAUGUUACUAUGGGCUUGCUGCUUAUAGCUAGGAGCUAGCUAGCUUCUUGCCCUCUCCGGGUGAUCUGGAUCAAUGGCCGGGAAGAUCUGUUAUCUUCUUCUGGAUAAUGUAAAAUAAAUGCCAUAUCUAUGGACCUAAUGAAGUCUCCUGUUCUAUAGAAAA